UACAGAGGGUGCGAGCGUUGUUCGGAAUUACUGGGCGUAAAGCGCGCGCAGGCGGCCCUUUAAGUCUACCCGUGAAAUGCCGGAGCUCAACUCCAGAACUGCCUCCGAUACUGGAAAGCUGGAGUCCGGGAGAGGUGAGUGGAACUGCGAGUGUAGAGGUGAAAUUCGUAGAUAUUCGCAAGAACACCAGUGGCGAAGGCGGCUCACUGGCCCGGUACUGACGCUGAGGUGCGAAAGCGUGGGGAGCAAACAGG
rnacentral:rRNA from 1 species